rnacentral:rRNA from 1 species
ACGCUCUUCCGAUCUCUCAGAUUGAACGCUGGCGGAAUGCUUUACACAUGCAAGUCGAACGGCAGCAUAGAGAGCUUGCUCUCUGAUGGCGAGUGGCGAACGGGUGAGUAAUAUAUCGGAACGUGCCUAGUAAUGGGGAAUAACUAGCUGAAAGGUUAGCUAAUGCCGCAUACGACCUACGGGUGAAAGCAGGGGAUCUUCGGACCUUGCGUUAUUAGAGCGGCCGAUAUCUGAUUAGCUUGUUGGUGGGGUAAUGGCCUACCAAGGCGACGAUCAGUAGCUGGUCUGAGAGGACGAUCAGCCACACUGGAACUGAGACACGGUCCAGACUCCUACGGGAGGCAGCAGUGGGGAAUUUUGGACAAUGGGGGCAACCCUGAUCCAGCCAUUCCGCGUGAGUGAAGAAGGCCUUCGGGUUGUAAAGCUCUUUCGCAAGAGAAGAAAACUUACUAUCUAAUAAAUAGUAAGUAUGACGGUAUCUUGACAAGAAGCACCGGCUAACUACGUGCCAGCAGCCGCGGUAAUACGUAGGGUGCAAGCGUUAAUCGGAAUUACUGGGCGUAAAGCGUGCGCAGGCGGUUAUAUAAGACAGAUGUGAAAUCCCCGGGCUCAACCUGGGACCUGCAUUUGUGACUGUAUAGCUAGAGUACGGUAGAGGGGGAUGGAAUUCCGCGUGUAGCAGUGAAAUGCGUAGAUAUGCGGAGGAACACCGAUGGCGAAGGCAAUCCCCUGGACCUGUACUGACGCUCAUGCACGAAAGCGUGGGGAGCAAACAGGAUUAGAUACCCUGGUAGUCCACGCC